CCUACGGGUGGCAGCAGUGGGGGAUAUUGCACAAUGGGGGGAACCCUGAUGCAGCGACGCCGCGUGGGUGAAGGAGUGCUUCGGCAUGUAAAGCCCUAUCGGCAGGGAAGAAGCAAGACGGUACCUGACUAAGAAGCCCCGGCUAACUACGUGCCAGCAGCCGCGGUAAUACGUAGGGGGCGAGCGUUAGCCGGAUUCACUGGGUGUAAAGGGAGCGUAGACGGCCAUGCAAGCCAGGGGGGAAUGCCCGGGGCCCAACCCCGGGACUGCCCUUGGAACUGUGCGGCUAGAGUGCGGGAGGGGCAGGCGGAAUGCCUGGUGUAGCGGUGAAAUGCGUAGAUAUCAGGAGGAACACCGGCGGCGAAGGCGGCCUGCUGGACCGCGACUGACGUUGAGGCUCGAAAGCGUGGGGAGCGAACAGGAUUAGAUACCCCAGUAGUC
rnacentral:rRNA from 1 species